UGGGGAAUAUUGCACAAUGGGGGAAACCCUGAUGCAGCGACGCCGCGUGAACGAAGACGGUAUUCGUAUCGUAAAGUUCUGUCCUAUGGGAAGAUAAUGACAGUACCAUAGAAGAAAGCUCCGGCUAAAUACGUGCCAGCAGCCGCGGUAAUACGUAUGGAGCGAGCGUUGUCCGGACUUAUUGGGCGUAAAGGGUACGCAGGCGGUUUAAUAAGUCGAAUGUUAAAGAUCGGGGCUCAACCCCGCAAAGCAUUGGAAACUGAUAAGCUUGAGUAGUGGAGAGGAAAGUGGAAUUCCUAGUGUAGUGGUGAAAUACGUAGAUAUUAGGAGGAAUGCCAGUAGCGAAGGCGACUUUCUGGACACAAACUGACGCUGAGGGACGAAAGCGUGGGGAGCAAACAGAA
rnacentral:rRNA from 1 species